rnacentral:lncRNA from 1 species
CGGGGAGGAGGCGCCGCCCCCUCCUGCUAGCACGGCGGGGCUGCCAGAGUGCCUGCCCGGCUCCCGUGCAGUGGGUUCCGGAGACUGGAGCUGGGAUUCGGGUUGGUGGUGGCCGAACGGAGGGUGCGUUCGUGCGGAUCCACAUCGCCGCACCAGGUCCCGCCUGUGGAAGACGUGUCGUGCUCCUCCCUAGCGCGACGAGAUGGUGGCUUCUGCGGGACGGAGCGCCCCAGGGCGCCCCAGAAGACGUUCAGAGAUAGAGUGGUCCAGGCUUCGGGAGGAUGUGGGACAGUGAUACAGCUCCGCGUCGGACUCAGAUUGUGCCAGGGAUGGGAACCUUGGGGGUGACCAGGACUCCAGGCACGGCGCAUCAAGAAGUCUUUCCGAGCCUGGGGAUCUUGAGCUGCUAUGGCGCAGAGACCGUGGUCAAUCCCGCUCCAUGCCGGGCGAGCCGCGCAGAGCGCAGAUCCGAAGCUCGGAAGCCUUUGCGCGCACGCUUGGGAGUCACAGGUCUAUUCGCAGAGCACUUGGGCAAAAGAUAUUGGAUGAGGUUUCAAAAAUUACCACCUCACCCUUCCAGGAGGAGAUAGCGAAGGUCUGAUUCCACCUGAACCCUCUUUCCUGUGGGGCCUAAGCCAGGCCCACCUGUUCCCUGGAGAGUCACUCACUUGCUUUCAGGGCUCCAGGAAUCCACACCAGAAACACAGCCGCCUCUUCAAGAACACUGCUGAGCCAGGG